GAUGAAGAACGUAGCGAAAUGCGAUAGGUAGUGUGAAUUGCAGAUGUAACGUGAAUCAUCGAAUCUUUGAACGCAAAUUGCACUCUCUGGUAUUCCGGGGAGUAUGCCUGUUUGAGGGUCGCCAAAUCAACAUCGAAAUUCAUUUGCUUUUGUAAAUGUUUAUCGGAUUUGAGCCGUCUUUUAUUUUUUUAAUUAAAGUGGCUUAAAAUGUAUUUUUUUGGUAUCGAAAAACGUUAUUUUACGAUCAAAUUGAUUAAAAAAACAAACGUUUCGAAUGCCGUCUUUUAAUGUAAUACGCUUGACUGUGGUGUUAUUCAUAGUUUCAUUCGUAUACGAUUUUUUAAUUUUUGACCUCAAAUCAGGUAAGAACACCCGCUGAACUUAAGCAUAUCAAUAAGCGGAGGA
rnacentral:misc_RNA from 1 species